rnacentral:rRNA from 1 species
UACGUAUGGGGCAAGCGUUAUCCGGAUUCAUUGGGCGUAAAGAGCGCGUAGGCGGCUUGUUAAGCGAGAUGUGAAAACAGGGGGCUCAACCCGCUGCCUGCAUCUCGUACUGGCAGGCUUGAGUCUGGUAGAGGAAAGUGGAAUUCCCAGUGUAGCGGUGAAAUGCGCAGAUAUUGGGAGGAACACCAGUGGCGAAGGCGGCUUUCUGGGCCACGACUGACGCUGAGGCGCGAAAGCUAGGGGAGCAAACAGG